UUAUUGGGUUUUUUAUACCCACACUGGGUAAUUUGAUAGAAACAUGCUGGGUUAUAUGUUUACCCAAUUAUUGGUGUGUGGUCGUUUGACCAUAUACUGGGUUAUGCUAACCAUUGAUGAGUUAUUAUACCCAAUCACUGGGUUUAUCAUAACAUUUGAAAUCAGAGCCAGCCAACGGACUUUUUCCUGGAAGUCAACUGAACUGGGGAAAACCUUCAACAACAAGGAAAGGUUAACCAGAGAUCGCACUGGCGUCCGGAUCCUUUGUAAGCUGAUCACGUUAUGUCCGUCUGUGCUAAGACUGGAAGUGACUGAAAGACAACACAGAUGCAUUCUUUCAGCAAGGUGACCAAAAUCUGUUUCACUCUGCAGCACUUGUCCUGGAGGUUUUGUAGACAGAACUGGAAGUGACUGAAAGAAAACGGAGACUUAUUCUUUCAGCAAGCACUUGUCCCGGAGGCUUUGUAGACAGAGUGACUGAACGAAAACCUAAAUGAGAAAUGCUGUGUACCUCAUCUUGAACUCUUUCACAUGGUGAUUCCUACACAUAAUUGCACACUGUAUGUGUUUAGCUAUCCUAUCUUACAAAGACUUAUUGCCAAUACUGUAUCUGCCUUUCCUCAAUACAAUGUAAAAAGUGCUGCAUAGACCAUUUAGAGAAGCAAUGUCUCAUGACUUUUGCUGUAUGUUUAUUUUUGAUCAAGUUUCAUUUGUUUUGUAAAAUAUCUUUGCAGAUUUUCUUUUCGUGCCUGGACACUUUUUUCCUUUCAAAUAUUGCUUUGAAUUGAUGCAAAUUGAAGAACGUGAAUCCCUGGUAAUAAAGGAAGGUUGACCAGAAAAUAA